UGACAUUGUUCAUGUAUGAAGUUAUGCCA
rnacentral:piRNA from 1 species